GAUGAACGCUAGCGGCAGGCCUAACACAUGCAAGUCGAGGGGUAGAACACUUCGGUGUUUGAGACCGGCGCACGGGUGCGUAACGCGUAUGCAAUCUACCUUGUACAGGGGAAUAGCCCAGAGAAAUUUGGAUUAAUGCCCCAUAGUAUAUAACCUUCGCAUGUUGGUUAUAUUAAAGUUCCAACGGUACAAGAUGAGCAUGCGUCCCAUUAGUUAGUUGGUAAGGUAACGGCUUACCAAGACGAUGAUGGGUAGGGGUCCUGAGAGGGAGAUCCCCCACACUGGUACUGAGACACGGACCAGACUCCUACGGGAGGCAGCAGUGAGGAAUAUUGGUCAAUGGUCGCAAGACUGAACCAGCCAUGCCGCGUGCAGGAAGACGGUCCUAUGGAUUGUAAACUGCUUUUAUACAGGAAGAAACCCUCCCACGUGUGGGAGCUUGACGGUACUGUAGGAAUAAGGAUCGGCUAACUUCGUGCCAGCCGCCGCCGUAA
rnacentral:rRNA from 1 species